ACUAGAGAGAGCGUCUUGUGGCUGCGGCCUGCCCCUCAGCCUCCUCCGCGCGGUUACCCCUGUACCCGCCGCCAUCCGUCCUGGCGCUCCGGAUGAGUCAAUGAGGGGCAGGGCCCGAGGAGUGGUCUUCCCAAGAACCCCUGGUGGCCUCCCAAGGCCGGUGCUGUGUACCUCCUCCCCGACAAAAGGGGAAACUGAGGCCCCGAGGGGAGUGGGAAGAGCCGGCUGGACGUCAGGCCCAGCCGCUGGUGCAGUGCACCCUGAUCUGCACUCCCUGAGGGGCUCCCACUGUCCGCGGUGUGAGGAUGUCCCUGGAUAGUCCACUGUGUGCAGAGGCAUGGGAGUUGUCAUGUUGGGAACAUGCUAGACCUCAGUAUCCUUGAGGGAUGCUGCCUUGGGUCUGGAAACUGUUAGAGGAAACCCCAAGAGGUGCAGGCACUGAGCCUCUCAGGACAAUGACCUGGGGUCCCAGCUCCCCUGGAGGGGCCUCCUCAUGAUUGUUUGGGGGUUGAUCACAGACCAAGAGUGACGAGUGAUGUCACCCUGUGACUCAUGGCUGGACCUUCUUGCCCCUAUUGUCUCAGCACAACAUUAUUCGACUUUUCCCUCAGCGUGGGUGGGCAGAGGAAAAGCCCUGUGGCUCUGGGGACUUGGGAUCCAGAGUUGAAGACCCUUCAGCUGGCUCUGCCCUGCCAGUGCCACAGAGUGCCAUGGCCCAGGAAGACAGGUUUUCUUCCAUCUAGGCCAGGCCAUCCAGUGGCCAUCCUCCGUGUCCUCCCGCCUCCUCCUGGUGUGACUUCUGAAAACCAAGAAUUUGUUCCUGUUGACUUUUUCUGUGCUAUGGACCAUUGUCCUCUCACCCACUCAAUAAAUCUUGAAACAUG
rnacentral:lncRNA from 1 species